rnacentral:lncRNA from 1 species
GCUUUGUGUGUUUAGGGUUUAGUGUUGGGAUGUGCUCAGAGUCCGGUGCCUUGAUCAAGACUUAUGUGUCAUCCUCACUAUACUCUGAUGAUUUGCUCAGCUCCACUAAGCUCCAAGGUAUCAACUUAAAAAAAAAAAAAAAUAAGUAUCUUACAUAACGUGGAUAAUCUUCUAUACAAAAAUUCGGGAUAUUCUCUAUGCACCCAUCUUUCCAAAUGAAAUCAUCGCAUUCUUUUUUUUUUGACAACAUCAUCGCAUUUUUUAUGUUAAAUCCAUUGUUGUUUGUAUAGUCCCUUAUGUCGCUGAAUCAGACUGGGAUUCAUAGGUGAUGGAGUCCAAAGUCCCGGUGAUGGUUAUGUUCACAGCCGAUAUUGAUUUAGAGCGAGAGAUCGCACCACGUUGGGACAUACGAGCUCUCCCCACCAUCGUUGUUUUCAAAGGGGGAUACUUAGUGGCUACUCGCGCCGGAGCUCUUGAAGUAAAGACACUGAGGGAGAUCAUCGAGAAAUAUAUGUGAUGACUGGGCAUUGAGUCUUAAGCAUGGUUUAUAUAUCUAUAUAUAUAAAAAAAUGUUUGUGUCCCUCCUGUUGCGCCACGUCGGAUCCAGCCUGGAAACUCGCUUCAUACAAUCGCGCCACAUGUCCUGAACAUGAGACUCACCGUUUCAUUAACUCUGGUGUGGGCUUGGACUGUGUAAUCGCGUGUCUGGGCCUAAUCCUGAAGAAUCGAUGCAUUGGGCCAGGAGCUCAAGCCUCGCCUCCCGGCGGUCAGCUAACCACCACCAUGAAUUUCGUCAUCUUCUUCCUCUCUAAGCCCAACUUCCGCCUCGCCUCCCGGCGGUCAGCUAACCACCACCAUGAAUUUCGUCGUCUUCUUCCUCUCUAAGCCCGACUUCGGUUACUACUCCUUCGGCUUCACCGCCUCCACCGUAGCUUCAUCAUGUCUCCGCUUCCAGCCAAUCUCUCAUUACUCGCAUCAGAUCUUGAAUCCAUGGUGGAGAAAACUCCAUCUUCUUCAUGAAUCUGCAUCUGGACAAGAAUAAGCUUUGAUAAGAGAAUAGAUAAAAGAGUGGUUGAGACAUAUUUCGUGGUGAUGGUUGAAACAGAGUUCAUUAGCGGAGAACGAUAACGAGGAGGUGGAGAUUAAGAAGAUGGUGGCAGCGGCGGAGGUUAUGGUGAUGGUGGCUGAGACAGCUUCGUUAGCGGAGGUAGAGAACGAGGAGACAGAGAUUAUGGUGAUGGUGGUGGAUGUGACAGAUUUCGUUUAUGGGGUAAUUUUGUUUAAGAAUGAAGAACAUGAGAUAAGAAAAGAGAUAGAGUUAAGCCUUUGUUCAAAAGAAAAAAAAAAGAUAGAGAAUACGAAAGGAAAGGUAGGAGAUAGAGGAAGAACACAUUUUUCACUUUGUUCAUUUUGGGCCAUUAGAUUUAUUUUAAUCAAUGGUUGUAGUUAAAAGAAAGUGGAUCCUCGCACUUGCACCUUAGUGGUUACUUUUUAAGAGAGGGAAAAAUGAGAAUUAAAGAGAGGAAAAUUGAUUAGUGAUGAGAUUUUCA